rnacentral:rRNA from 1 species
UACGUAGGGGGCUAGCGUUGUCCGGAAUCAUUGGGCGUAAAGCGCGUGUAGGCGGUCCGGUAAGUCCGCUGUGAAAGUCGGGGGCUCAACCCUCGGAUGCCGGUGGAUACUGUCGGGCUUGAGUACGGAAGAGGCGAGUGGAAUUCCUGGUGUAGCGGUGAAAUGCGUAGAUAUCGGGAGGAACACCUGUGGCGAAAGCGGCUCACUGGACCACAACUGACGCUGAGGCACGAAAGCGUGGGGAGCAAACAGG